rnacentral:rRNA from 1 species
UACGGAAGGCAGCAGUGGGGAAUAUUGCACAAUGGGCGCAAGCCUGAUGCAGCCAUGCCGCGUGUAUGAAGAAGGCCUUCGGGUUGUAAAGUACUUUCAGUCGUGAGGAAGGUGUUAAGGUUAAUAACCUUAGCAAUUGACGUUAGCGACAGAAGAAGCACCGGCUAACUCCGUGCCAGCAGCCGCGGUAAUACAGAGGGUGCGAGCGUUAAUCGGAUUUACUGGGCGUAAAGCGUGCGUAGGCGGCUUUUUUAAGUCGGAUGUGAAAUCCCCGAGCUUAACUUGGGAAUUGCAUUCGAUACUGGGAAGCUAGAGUAUGGGAGAGGAUGGUAGAAUUCCAGGUGUAGCGGUGAAAUGCGUAGAGAUCUGGAGGAAUACCGGAUGGCGAAGGGCAGCCAUCUGGGCCUAAUACUGACGCUGAGGUCGAAAGCAUGGGGA